AAAAAAAUCUAUUUACUAGUAAAGUGUUGAAGAAUAUAAUAAAUAUAAAUGUAAGGAAUUAAUGAUUGUGUUUGGCACUGCCUAACCCUAACCCAAACCCUAACCCUAACUAACCCUAACACUAACCCUCACUCUUGACCUGGGACUGCAUGCUAUAUUCUGCAAAAAUAUCUGAGGAGACAAGAACAAUCUGAAUGUAGUCAGUACAUUUCAAAAUUAUUAUAUAUUUUAGAUUAUUCCACCUAGUUAGAUAUAUUGUCAUAUUUCCUACACAGUGAAAUUAUCAAAUUAUAUUGCGGCGAACAUAAUCAAACUCAGAGCACCACAGAUUAAUGGUAUAACUCAGAACUCAAGCAAGGAUGUGACACAUAGUGUCAUCAUUUCACCACUGUUCCUUCCAUAGGGAGACCAGCCAUGCUGGGUAGUUCUUAUGGUUGAUUCCACUGGGCCUGUUGAAUGUGUGUCCUAAACUCCUGUUUAAAAGUGUCUGAUAAUGUAUGUAGAUAAAAUUGGAGAAUACACCCUGAUACUGGUAUUUGUAUAGAGGUAUAUUUAAAUUUCAUGUAUUAUAUAACCUGUUUUUGGUGGCAACAGCAGUUGAGAAGGGAAGCAUGUUUAGCAUUUGUUUAAGACUGUGUGUUUAAAGGCUUAGGAAAGGAUUUCAUGUUUCAGAAAAGACUGCUGUUUCUUUCCUCUGUGAUACAGUAUGAUUUUCUAGUGCAGUUUGUCCACUGACUGAUAUUUAGUAGGUGAAGAAUGUGCAGGAAAAAAGAGGACGCAAACGCGAGCCUGCAACUGAAGGAUUUAAAGGCCCUGCACAAAACGUCAUAUUAACGGGAAAAAACAAGACCACAUCAAAAUGGCUCAGAUGUAUUUCUGGGGUUGAAGUUAAACUAAAUACAAGAGUUUAUUGCACGCAUUUUACUGCAAAUUAAUUUAAAAAUUGGGCUCAAUACAGCUGCGGAGUUGCCAGUCGACUAAAGCUUAAAGCAACAGCUUUUCUAAUACUUAUUGGAGCCAACGUGGAUGAUAAAGUGACCUGCUAAGACCUGCCCCCUGGCUAACAGAAACGCU